UACGAAGGGGGCUAGCGUUGCUCGGAAUGACUGGGCGUAAAGGGCGCGUAGGCGGAUGACACAGUCAGAUGUGAAAUUCCCGGGCUUAACCUGGGGGCUGCAUUUGAUACGUGUUGUCUAGAGUGAGGAAGAGGGUUGCGGAAUUCCCAGUGUAGAGGUGAAAUUCGUAGAUAUUGGGAAGAACACCGGUGGCGAAGGCGGCAACCUGGUCCUUGACUGACGCUGAGGCGCGAAAGCGUGGGGAGCAAACAGG
rnacentral:rRNA from 1 species